rnacentral:pre_miRNA from 1 species
CAUGUACUCCCUCCAUCCCAAAAUUCUUGUCUUAGAUUUGUCUAGAUACGGAUGUAUCUAAUACUAAAAUGUGACUUGAUACAUCCGUAUUUAGACAAAUCUAAGACAAGAAUUUUGGGACGGAGGGAGUAUUUU